AUAAUUGAUAUAAGCACAAAUCAAUUACAAGAAUCCAUUAUGUGCACAAAAUAUUAGUUAAGUGGGGGUAGGGAGGAGGGAGGAGGGUGGAGGUGUGAUGGUGAGUGAUGCGAAGGGUGAAGACAAAUUCAUGACAAGAACCUCCAAUUUCUCAAUAACCUACCAACCCACCUACCCUUUGUCUCCUCCCCCGCCUUAAUAAUGAAUAUGGAUAUUGGGUUGGCAAGCACCA
rnacentral:lncRNA from 1 species